AAUAGAUACCCAGGUAGUCCACGCCGUAAACGAUGAAUGCUAGGUGUUAGGGGUUUCGAUACCCUUGGUGCCGAAGUUAACACAUUAAGCAUUCCGCCUGGGGAGUACGGUCGCAAGACUGAAACUCAAAGGAAUUGACGGGGACCCGCACAAGCAGUGGAGUAUGUGGUUUAAUUCGAAGCAACGCGAAGAACCUUACCAGGUCUUGACAUCCCCCUGACCGGUCUAGAGAUAGGCCUUUCCUUCGGGACAGGGGAGACAGGUGGUGCAUGGUUGUCGUCAGCUCGUGUCGUGAGAUGUUGGGUUAAGUCCCGCAACGAGCGCAACCCUUGACUUUAGUUGCCAGCAGGUAAAGCUGGGCACUCUAGAGUGACUGCCGGUGACAAACCGGAGGAAGGUGGGGAUGACGUCAAAUCAUCAUGCCCCUUAUGACCUGGGCUACACACGUACUACAAUGGCCGGUACAACGGGAAGCGAAGGAGCGAUCUGGAGCGAAUCUUUAGAAGCCGGUCUCAGUUCGGAUUGCAGGCUGCAACUCG
rnacentral:rRNA from 1 species